AGGUGGAGGGCUGAAAAUUUGACACAUAAACCUUAACUACCCCAUUAAAUGCCCUAGAUGGAACUGCUUUAGUAUAUUAUAUAUAUUGCUCAAAUUUGAUCUUACGAUUUUCUCUUUAUCAUUAGACUCUAGUGCAUAUUACGUACUUUAAUAUAGGAUCUAAGGAAGAAAGAGGACUGAGAGAAGUUGAAGUGACUCUUUUGAGUC
rnacentral:lncRNA from 1 species